AGAGUUUGAUCCUGGCUCAGGAUGAACGCUAGCGACAGGCCUAACACAUGCAAGUCGAGGGGCAUCGGGACGUAGCAAUACGUUGCCGGCGACCGGCGGAUGGGUGAGUAACGCGUAUGCAACCUACCCGUAGCAGGGGGAUAGCCCGUUGAAAGACGGAUUAAUACCCCGUAACACAGGGGCUCCGCAUGGAGAUUAUUGUUAAAGGGUCAUUUCUUUUUCAGGGAUGGUCCGGCUGCGGAUGGGCAUGCGUUCCAUUAGGUAGUUGGUGUAGGUAACGGCUCACCAAGCCGACGAUGGAUAGGGGAACUGAGAGGUUGGUCCCCCACACUGGUACUGAGACACGGACCAGACUCCUACGGGAGGCAGCAGUGAGGAAUCUUGGUCAAUGGACGCAAGUCUGAACCAGCCAUGUCGCGUGAAGGAGGACGGCCCUAAGGGUUGUAAACUUCUUUUGCAGUGGAAUAAAGUUUGCCACGUGUUGGCGAUUUGCAAGUACGCUGCGAAUAAGGAUCGGCUAACUCCGUGCCAGCAGCCGCGGUAAUACGGAGGAUCCAGGCGUUAUCCGGAUUUAUUGGGUUUAAAGGGUGCGCAGGCGGGGAAUUAGGUCGGCGGUGAAAUUUCGGGGCUCAACCUCGACAGUGCCGUUGAAACCGUUUCUCUUGAGUGCGGAUGAGGUAGGCGGAAUUUGUGGUGUAGCGGUGAAAUGCGUAGAUAUCACAAGGAACACCGAUUGCGGAGGCAGCUUACUAAACCGUUACUGACGCUCAUGCACGAAAGCGUGGGGAUCAAACAGGAUUAGAUACCCUGGUAGUCCACGCAGUAAACGAUGAUUACUUGCUGUUUGCGAUACACAGUAAGCGGCGAAGCGAAAGCGUUAAGUAAUCCACCUGGGGAGUACGUUCGCAAGAAUGAAACUCAAGGAAUUGACGGGGCCCGCACAGCGGAGA
rnacentral:rRNA from 1 species